rnacentral:rRNA from 1 species
UACGUAGGGGGCAAGCGUUGUCCGGAAUUAUUGGGCGUAAAGAGCGUGUAGGCGGCCAGAUAAGUCCGCUGUGAAAUCUCGAGGCUCAACUUCGAGCUGUCGGUGGAAACUAUCUGGCUAGAGUCCGGAAGAGGAGAAUGGAGUUCCUGGUGUAGCGGUGAAAUGCGCAGAUAUCAGGAAGAACACCCGUGGCGAAGGCGGUUCUCUGGGACGGUACUGACGCUGAGACGCGAAAGCGUGGGGAGCGAACAGG